rnacentral:rRNA from 1 species
CGCUAGCGACAGGCCUAACACAUGCAAGUCAGGGGCAGCACAAGGAGCAAUCUGAGGUGGCGACCGGCGCACGGGUGAGUAACACGUAUGCAACCUGACCUGUAAAGCGGGGGAAUAAACCCCGUUGAAAGACGGACUAAUACCGCAUAAUACUAAAUUACUGCAUGGUAAUUUAUUUAAACAUUUAUGGCUUACAGAUGGGCAUGCGCAUGAUUAGCUAGUUGGAGAGGUAACGGCUCCCCAAGGCAACGAUCAUUAGGGGUUCUGAGAGGAAGGUCCCCCACACUGGUACUGAGACACGGACCAGACUCCUACGGGAGGCAGCAGUGAGGAAUAUUGGUCAAUGGACGAGAGUCUGAACCAGCCAAGUCGCGUGCAGGAGGAAUGUUCCCUAUGGAUUGUAAACUGCUUUUGCAGGGGAAUAAAGUGCAUCACGUGUGAUGUUUUGUAUGUACUCUGCGAAUAAGGAUCGGCUAACUCCGUGCCAGCCGCCGC